rnacentral:rRNA from 1 species
CCUACGUGUGGCAGCAGUGAGGAAUAUUGGUCAAUGGGCGGGAGCCUGAACCAGCCAAGCCGCGUGAGGGAAGAAGGUACAGCGUAUCGUAAACCUCUUUUGUCAGGGAACAAAGGCGGGGACUAGUCCCCGGAUGAGGGUCCCUGAAGAAAAAGCAUCGGCAAACUCCGUACAGCCAGCCGCGGUAAUACGGGGGAUGCGAGCGUUAUCCGGAUUUAUGGGGUUAAAAGGGUGCGCAGGCGGCCUGUUAUUUCAGCGGGAAAAGCCCGGGGCGCAACCCCGGCGAGCCGUUGACACUGGCGGGCUGGAGUGGGAGAGAAGUAAGCGGAAUGCGGGGUGUAGCGGUGAAAUGCUUAGAUAUCGCGCAGAACACCGAUUGCGAAGGCAGCGUACCGGCUCCACACUGACGCUGAGGCACGAAAGCGUGGGUAGCGAACAGGAUUAGAUACCCCAGUAGUC